UAGAGAUAGAUCAGGCCUUCGGGACAGAGAGACAGGUGGUGCAUGGUUGUCGUCAGCUCGUGUCGUGAGAUGUUGGUUAAGUCCGCAACGAGCGCAACCCUUAUCAUUAGUUGCUAACAUUCAGUUGAGAACUCUAAUGAGACUGCCAGUGAUAAACUGGAGGAAGGUGGGGAUGACGUCAAAUCAUCAUGCCCCUUAUGACCUGGGCUACACACGUGCUACAAUGGCCGGUACAAAGAGUUGCGAAACUGUGAAGUUAAGCUAAUCUCAUAAAGCCGGUCUCAGUUCGGAUUGUAGUCUGCAACUCGACUACAUGAAGUCGGAAUCGCUAGUAAUCGCGAAUCAGAAUGUCGCGGUGAAUACGUUCUCGAGUCUU
rnacentral:rRNA from 1 species